rnacentral:misc_RNA from 1 species
CCGCUUCCUCCCCAGAUCCGCCGCCUCCGCCGCCGCCUUCCCUGAACCAAUGCCCGUCCCCACCAAACCUCGCCGGACGGUUGCCGGCGUCGACCAAGAUUCCCUCGUCGACCCAGAAGACCUCGCCGACCCCGACAGCUACUUCUUCGACUUCAGAGGCGUCAGAAUGCAUCACAAGGUCGUCCACCACGGCACCGCCGAGGACAACACAGAGGCUGCGAGGAGUCAAUUCGCGAUAAUCCUUCUGCACGGGUUCGGCGCCUCCUUGUUCUCCUGGCACCAGAUCAUGCGGCCGCUGGCGCAGCUCACGGGCACUAGAGUUCUCGCCUUCGACCGCCCGGCUUUCGGCCUGACAACGCGCCCCAGCGAGGUGAACGCAGCAGCACUGAAUCCUUAUUCUAUGACUUUCUCCACCCUUGCCACAUUAUCAUUUAUUGAGAUGCUGGGUGCUGAGAAGGCCAUUCUAGUAGGGCACUCUGCUGGUUGCAAUGUAGCGGUGAAUGCUUACUUUGAAGCUCCUGAGCGAGUCGCGGCGCUGAUUCUGGUGGCUCCGGCGAUAUUUGCGCCGCUUCUACCGCAGAAGGUGGAUAAGGAGAAGGGAGAUGGGAGGGGGAGAAGAGUUGAUAGGGG